GGCCACUGGAAGAGGAAGAAGAGCAAGGAGGGGAGUGAAAGGGGAGGGGACGAGGAAGAAGGCUUCGGCCCUGGACACGCAAGAGGACGGGAGAGUGACAAGUACUGUGGGAGCCCCGAGCUGUGUUUACCACAUGGUUCAUCACAUCCAUCCUCACCCAAAACUUCAGGAAUAACUACGUUAGCAUUCCCAUUUUAUCAAUGGGGAGGCUGAUACCCUUGAAAUGAAACCGGCGAGCCGUGGCUGAGUUACGCAAUGCAAGACAACAGAGCAAGGGAGCAAACGUCCGGGUUCACACACGACCUCAAGGAUCUCAGAAACAAUGUCAUGUGGCCCUCGGGACGCAAGUCCGAAUAUUCACCUUCAAAGUUCAAAGACAGGCAAGACCAAACAAGAUAUUGUAGGAAUAGGUUCAUAGGUGGGAAAACUAUAGAGAAAGCCGGGGAAUGAUAAUUUUUUUAAAAAAUCAGGAGAGUAGUUACCUCCUGGGGGAGGAAGGUACUGUUAACGCAGGGCUCACCGGGGGCGUCUAGGAUACUCACAGUGUUUCUCAAAGGAGAGAAUUGGUACACAACAGUCAUUCCAUUAUUCUUUCCAUUAUAGGUACACUUUGUAUAUUCCUCUUUGUGUAUAUUUCAUCACCAAAUAAACAUAAAAAUCAACCUUCCUUCUUUCUGCCAUUUAAAAAAAAAAGAUCUGAUGAAAUGUAGGGAUCCUUUUUCCAGAACUAUGAAAAAACAUCCAAGUGUUCCAUCUCAGUGCAGGGGGCUCAGAGAGCCCUUCGAGGUC